GUUUUAUUGUGUACAUAAAUUACUUUAAUUAACUAAUUUAUUUAUUUAAAACCAUGAAAAAAUUAUUUAUUAUUUAUUUAUUUAUUUAUUAACUAUUGUCAGUGUUAAUUACAAUUAUUUAAAACAGUGAAUAUACUUUAAAACGUAAUAAAUAAAAAAAAUAAAAAUAAAAGUAAAAAAAAAUCAAGUAUAGUUUAAAAUAAGCGAAUUUAGCCAAUCACGAUAUGAUUGCCAUCGGGUUAGGUUAUAAAUAAUGAAAUCCAUUGGACAAAGGUUGCUUUCAAUUCUUUAAACUCAAAUAAUUUAUAUACAUAUCUAUGUAUACAUGUAAUAUUAUAUAUUAUAUGAUAUAAUAAUGUGUGCGCGUCAUAAAGACAAGAGAAGUUGAUUGAAAAACCUCCAAAAAUAUUAUUUAAGAUAACUUGUUUAUAUUUUAUUUUACAAGUUUACAUUUUUAUAAGUAACAAUAUAAUAAAUUAAAUAACGGAUACCAGUGUGCUUUAUAUUAUUAUUCAUGUAACAUAUAUAUUAUGUAAUUUGAGUUUUAAAAAAUGCUAUGGUGGACAUAAAUUGUGCACGUGAGAGCUACUCGAUAUUGUAUGACGGGUGGCAUUUUCCAAAGAUGACAGAUUCAUCAUCUUCGCCUUCAUCGGCUUUUAUUAACAUCAUCAACAAUAUUUUUAUUGUUGUAAAAGCCGUACUUCGCAUCGGAUUUGUUAUUCUUAAUAAUAUUUAUUGUAUACCAACAUAUGUAAUAUGGAUGAUGUUAUUAUCGCCUGUAAAAUUAUUUCAACCAAAAAUUUAUUGGAGAAUAGAAGGUCUUUUUUUUCAUUGGCUAUUGGCGAUGGUAUCAAUGUGGUCUUGGUCAGCUGGUUAUGACAUCGUUGAAUACGGUGAUGAUUUACAACCAAUAAUAAAUGACAGAACACUAGUUAUUGCAAACCAUCAAAGUACUGGAGAUGUUCCAAUGUUAAUGGCUACUUUCAAUGCGAAGCCGAACGUACUACCAAAUCUUAUGUGGAUAAUGGAUAGGAUAUUUAAAUUUACAAAUUUUGGAAUUGUUUCUUUACUGCAUCGAGAUUUUUUUAUUUCUUCGGGUCGAAAACGGAGAGAAGAAAGUCUUAAGCAGUUAGAAUUACACUUGGAUAAUUCAUAUAUACCACUUGAACGGAAGUGGAUGGUACUCUUUCCGGAAGGUGGUUUUUUGUGUAAAAGACUGGAAACUUCACAAAAAUAUGCGAAAAAAAAUAAUUUACCGAUAUUAGAAAAUGUUACUCUACCAAGAGUUGGUGCUAUGCGAACAAUAUUUGAUAAACUUGGUCCUGCUCAAAAUAUUGAUUCUUCUGAAAAUCAGUUGAACACUAGAUCAAAUAUGAUGAUAGUGAAACCGGAAAUUCGUUGGGUCCUUGAUAUAACAGUAGCAUAUCCUCAGGGUAAACCGAUCGAUUUAUCAACGAUCAUUACGGGGUCAAGGCCACCCUGUGAAACCGUCCUAUUUUAUCGAUUGUUUCCAAGUUCUGUGGUUCCAAAAGAUCCAGAUUUGUUGGCUAAAUGGCUGUAUGAUAGAUGGGCAGAAAAAGAAACAUUGUUAGAUAAUUUUUACAAGUAUGGAUCAUUUGUUGGUUCACGUGAUUCAAUGCAGGAAGGAUCAAAAAUACAACAAGAUCCUCUACGAUAUUUAGUGCUUCAUCUAUUUUUUUUAACAUCUAGUUAUAUACAAUACCAUAUGUUUUCUUAUGUGUUAUCGUGCAUUUGGUGAAAUUUAUUUAAUUUAUUUUCAUACCACCAGUCUACCAUUAUCACUUAUCAUUAGUAAUGUCAUUAUACAAUUCUGUUAACAAUUGUCACACAUAUUUGCACGAUUGAAAAACAUCACUGAAGAUAUAUAUUUAUUGAGAUUAUUAAUUUGUGAUAAACUCUAAAAGAAAAUAAGUUGAACAAAGAUAGAUGAAAGAGGAUGAAGAAAUAUUUUUUAAGCACAUAAUUUAUGGCAAUGAAUAUAGAAUUUUAUACGUCCGACUAUACGUGUUCCUGGAGUGUAAAUUUUAUAUCAUAUUAAAAUAUAUACGUAUGUAUGCAUGUAUAUAAACUUAUAUUUAUCGAAAUUUAUAAUUUAAAAACAAUUUGAAUCUCGCAAUGGGAUAAAAAUUUAUCAAUAGUGAUUUUUUUUUAUGAGAUAAAUUUACACAUUUUUUUUUUAUCUUCAUUUUUUUAAUUUCACAUUAAAUAAUUCAUAGUGUGAUUUAUAAAUAUUGAAAUAUUUUUGCAUUGAGCAAAAUCUCUAUACUUUUUGUUAAUAAAAAAAAAAAUUAAAGUGAAAAAACUGUUUUUAUAAGUUGAUAAAAUUCAAAUCAAAUAACUAUAAUUUAUAAAUUAUAGACUAUACACACUAUUAGGUUUAAAAUUAAGUAACCGAAAAUCUAAUUUUCUGUAUUAAAAUUUUCUAUACCUGCUAUAAUUUAUCAAUAUUUACAAUCAAAGUUUCAAUCAUAUUAAAAAAUGAAUAAAUUUAUCAACGUACUUUAAGGCGCCUUGUUAUGCAUUUGCUAAACCAGUAUUUUUGGACUUGUUAAACAAAGACAAGCAGCCUAAAUACUCAAAUAAAUGUAAAUAAAUUAUUUACAUUUCAAAUGUUUUUUUUGUUGGCAAUUCCACUUGCAUAGUCCGUUUUAUAGUCAUUGUUUCAGAAUAUUUAAGUAAUUUGAUGGCAAGUAUUUUUAUCAUCAAGUUAACGCUUUAAAGAAAUAUUUUUUUAACUCUUUGAUUUUUAGUGUUCUUUUGCAAUAAUAUUUAUUGACAAUAAUAAUACAAGACCGUCCAUUUUUAUACAACAUUUAAGUCGACUUAUUUUUCUCAUGAAAUAAAAUGUCUCUAAAUCGCGAAUUUCUUUGGAUAAAUUUUUAUCAUCAUUAAAAUAACUUUAUUCUAUUAAAUAAAAUCAGAUUUAUUUUUAACUUAAAAUUCAAGUCACUACCGACCACCAGUAUUUUGGCAUAAAAAAUUAUCAAUAUUUUGUAAUUUUUAAUUACUAUUUAAAAUAUUUAAAGUUUUCCAUUGUCAAUUUUUUUUUUUUUUUUAUAAUUAUUAAUAUUUUACAUUAAGCUAUCAUUUGAUAAUUGUCAUAUAAUUAAUUGAUGGGCUGCAAAAGUAUUAUCGUUUAAUUAAACAAUUGUUUUUUACAUAUUAAAUUUUUGUAUUAUAACUGUAUAACAUAUUUUCUAAAAUGGUAAAGGCGUCUUAAGUAUUUUAUCAAAAGAUAAAUUAAAUCAUAGUGAAAUUUGAAAAAUCUGUAUCUACAUUAGACUGAUUUAAAAAGAUCAACUAUUUAUUUUUCAAGGACACACUAAAAAGUUUCAGCAGGGUAGAAAAAAACUCCUGUCAAAAUUAGAGCUUUUAAUAUCAACAUUAACUCGUUUCUAAAUACAAUUUUCUCUUUCCUAUUUAAUUAACAUGGGAAAAAUUUUUUUCAACUUUGGGAAUUUCAUAACUCACCAACGAAUAAAUUUUCCGAGAAGGUCAAUUCAUAUUUUUGUAGAGAAUUUAAUGUUCUACAAAAAAAUUCUCUUAUCAAUUUUUGAUGACUUGAAUCCUUCAAAAGUUAUUCGAGAUUAAAGUUGAAUUUAUAAAAUUUUUACUAUUUUUCGACUUUUCUGUUUAAACUAUCAGACAUUAUAAAAUUAUAUAGGACGUUUUUUAUAGACCGUUUCACUUCCAACAUAUUAUCCGCUGCGAAUUUUUAAAAAUUCUUUAAUGUUCUUUAGUUAUUGCAGAAUAAAAAUCAGCCAUAAUACAACUCAAGAACAUUCACGAGUUUUGGAAAGUUUGUAAAGGAUAGUUUCUUGGAAAUGGAAAGCUCUAUAAAAAAAAGGUCCUAUAUUUCGUAAUAAGUUUAAUAAUUUCACCAGAAAAUUUGAAAAGUAGUGAAAAUUUUACAAAUUUAACUUCAACCUCGAAGGACUUUUAAAAUAAUUAAUUAAUCAAAAAAUGAUGAGAGACCUUUUUGUAGAUCAUUCAAUUCUCUACAAAAAUAUGUCUUGAUCUUUUCAGUAUACUUAGGGUAGAAAUACCCUUUGUGGCCGCUGUUUCAUUUUUGAACAUUUAAUUCUUUAUUGUAAUCAAUGAAAAUGUAUUUUUAAAAAAUCCAUUGUAAUAGUGUGAUAAAAGGAUCUUUGAACAAAUUAAAAAAAUUAAUUAUGUCAUUACGUUUUUUAUAAAUCAUUUCAUUUUAAACUUUUCAUGUAGUACCAAAAUUUUAAAUAUUUUUUUCUCAUGUUAUUAAAGUGUGAAAUGGAAAAUUUCAAUCAAGAAGUACUUGAUGUUCAUAUUAAAAACUCUAAUUUCAUACGGCGUUUUUUUUUACCCGAUUGAAACUUUUGAAAAAUAAAAAAUAGCCGAUUUUUCUAAUCAGUCUAAUAAACAUGUUUUUUUUUUACAUUUGCAUUUCAAAAUUUGUUCAAUUGUUAACUCGCAAUAUUAUAAAUAAAUUACAAUGAAUUACAUAAUUAAGAAAAUUCGAUUUCGAUUAUAUUCAAAAAUUUAUUAUUUAGUAACAUACAUUUAUAUUUUAUUACAGCUACUUUUAAUUAGUCAUUUAUUAAAUAUACUAACGAUUUAAUUAGAUUUAUAUAUUAUUUGUAAGAAUAAUCAAAAGCGAAUUGAGUAAUUUCAAUACAUAAGAAAAAAAAAACAAAUGUGUUUUAACGCAUUAUUCACCUUGUUAUAAUUUAUUUCAUUUAAAAAACUUGCCAAUUGUUUAAAAUUAACAUCUAGUCUCAUUUUUCCUGUAAUUAUGACAAUUGUUUGUAUAGUUAUUUAUGCGAUA